AUCAAAAAAUGUCAUAGUAUAGUAAGAUGUCAAAAAUGGUCAAAAAAUGUCAUAGUAUAGUAAGGUGUCAAAAAUGGUCAAAAAAUGUCAUAGUAUAGUAAGACAUCAAAAAACAUCAAAAAAUGUCAUAGUAUAGUAAGAGGUCAAAAAUGGUCAAAAAAUGUCAUAGUAUAGUAUGACGUCAAAAAUGGUCAAAAAAUGUCAUAGUAUAGUAAGGCGUCAAAAAACAUCAAAAAAUGUCAUAGUAUGGUAAGGCGUCAAAAAUGGUCAAAAAAAUGUCAUAGUAUAGUAAGGCGUCAAAAAUGGUCAAAAAAUGUCAUAGUAUAGUAUGACGUCAAAAAACAUCAAAAAAUGUCAUAGUAUAGUAAGGUGUCAAAAAACAUCAAAAAAUGUCAUAGUAUAGUAAGGCGUCAAAAAUGGUCAAAAAAUGUCAUAGUAUAGUAAGGUGUCAAAAAACAUCAAAAAAUGUCAUAGUAUAGUAAGGCGUCAAAAAUGGUCAAAAAAUGUCAUAGUAUAGUAAGAUGUCAAAAAUAGUCAAAAAAUGUCAUAGUAUAGUAAGGCGUCAAAAAUGGUCAAAAAAUGUCAUAGUAUAGUAUGGCGUCAAAAAUGUCAUAAAAAUGUCAUAGUAUAGUAUGGCGUCAAAAAUGUCAUAAAAAUGUCAUAGUAUAGUAAGAUGUCAAAAAUGGUCAAAAAAUGUCAUAGUAUAGUAAGGCGUCAAAAAUAGUCAAAAAAUGUCAUAGUAUAGUAAGGCGUCAAAAAUAGUCAAAAAAUGUCAUAGUAUAGUAAGGCGUCAAAAACUAUGAAAAAAUGUCAUAGUAUGUUGUGAAAAAUGGUCAAAAAAUGUCAUAGUAUG